rnacentral:rRNA from 1 species
UACGUAGGGUCCGAGCGUUGUCCGGAAUUACUGGGCGUAAAGAGCUCGUAGGUGGUUUGUCGCGUUGUUCGUGAAAACUCACAGCUUAACUGUGGGCGUGCGGGCGAUACGGGCAGACUGGAGUACUGCAGGGGAGACUGGAAUUCCUGGUGUAGCGGUGAAAUGCGCAGAUAUCAGGAGGAACACCGAUGGCGAAGGCAGGUCUCUGGGCCGAUACUGACGCUGAGGAGCGAAAGCGUGGGGAGCGAACAGG